CUUGAUGGACCCGAGCCAGAGAGGCCGAUCGUGAGGACGCCCUUGGCCGUAGGUCGCGAGAAGCGCCUGAGCCUC
rnacentral:antisense_RNA from 1 species